rnacentral:rRNA from 1 species
GACGUAGGAUGCGAGCGUUAUUCGGAUUUAUUGGGCGUAAAGCGUGCGUAGGCGGCUAUUUAAGUCUGGUGUUAAAGCUAGGGGCUCAACCCCUGUGAUGCAUUGGAUACUGGGUAGCUUGAGUGCGGUAGGGGAUGGCGGAAUACCCCAAGUAGAGGUGAAAUUCGUAGAUAUGGGGUGGAACACCGGUGGCGAAGGCGGCCAUCUGGACGGUAACUGACGCUGAGACGCGAAAGCGUGGGGAGCAAACAGG